GAUGAACGCUAGCGACAGGCUUAACACAUGCAAGUCGAGGGGCAGCGAGGGCGUAGCAAUACGCCUGUCGGCGACCGGCGCACUGGUGAGUAACACGUAUGCGACCUGCCCCCUACAGGGGUAUAACCCGUAGAAAUGCGGACUAAUCCCCCAUAGUCCUGGGUGCUGCAUGGCAUUCAGGGGAAAGGCCAGCCGGUAGGGGAUGGGCAUGCGGCGCAUUAGCUAGUUGGCGGGGCAACGGCCCACCAAGGCGACGAUGCGUAGGGGUUCUGAGAGGAAGGUCCCCCCANACUGGUACUGAGACACGGACCAGACUCCUACGGGAGGCAGCAGUGAGGAAUAUUGGUCAAUGGGCGCAGGCCUGAACCAGCCAAGUCGCGUGAGGGAAGACGGUCCUACGGGAUUGUAAACCUCUUUUUGUCCGGGGGAGUAACGGUGCGGGAGCGUCCCGUAUUGAGAGUACCCG
rnacentral:rRNA from 1 species